CAUAUGGUUGGAUAUGUAUCAUAUAUAGCUAUAGAUAGAAAAGCGAAAGGUGUCACCUGUAGUGCAUAGUCAUCAGGAACAUCUCUUAUGAUCACAGCCAUCGUUACUUAAUCACAUUGCUCUGAAGGGAAGAAUUCAUCUUCAAUGACCAUUUCCAUUUUUAUUGUGUUGGUUUCUAAACAUUUUGCCCCAGUGAGUUGAUUUGGAGAUGAUUUUAUUUACAAUCAGUGCUAGUGAUUUACAUUGUUUUAUUUAAAGAUCAUGAAGUGAAAACAAACUUUUCAUUAUAUUAUAUGGUUUACAAAAGCAAAUGAAAAUUGAUUAUGUGCAGACACAAA